rnacentral:rRNA from 1 species
UGGGGAAUCUUGCGCAAUGGCCGAAAGGCUGACGCAGCGACGCCGCGUGGGGGAUGACGCUUUUCGGAGUGUAAACCCCUGUUGCCCGGGACGAAUGACCCUUUCGAGGGGAGUGACGGUACCGGGUGAGGAAGCACCGGCUAACUCCGUGCCAGCAGCCGCGGUAAUACGGAGGGUGCGAGCGUUGUCCGGAAUCACUGGGCGUAAAGGGCGCGUAGGCGGCGCGGGAAGUCCGUGGUGAAAGCCCGAGGCUCAACUUCGGGUCGGCCAUGGAUACUCCUGGGCUUGAGCACUGUAGAGGCAGGUGGAAUUCCGGGUGUAGCGGUGGAAUGCGUAGAGAUCCGGAAGAACACCGGUGGCGAAGGCGGCCUGCUGGGCAGUAGCUGACGCUGAGGCGCGACAGCGUGGGGAGCAAACAGGAUUAGAUACCCCCGUAGUCC